UACAGAGGUGGCAAGCGUUGUUCGGAAUUACUGGGCGUAAAGGGCGCGUAGGCGGCCUUCUAAGUCAGACGUGAAAUCCCCCGGCUUAACCUGGGAACUGCGUCUGAUACUGGGAGGCUUGAGUAUGGGAGAGGGAUGUAGAAUUCCAGGUGUAGCGGUGAAAUGCGUAGAUAUCAGGAGGAACACCGAUGGCGAAGGCAGGUCACUGGGCCGCAACUGACGCUGAGGAGCGAAAGCAUGGGGAGCGAACAGG
rnacentral:rRNA from 1 species